UUUCAAGUAAUUGCUAAUAAAACAUCCUGGGAUUGCCGAUACAAAUUACAAUAACCAAGGCCGGCGCCGCGGCUCACUAGGCUAAUCCUCCGCCUUGCGGCGCCGGCACACCGGGUUCUAGUCCCGGUUGGGGCGCCGGAUUCUGUCCCGGUUGCCCCUCUUCCAGGCCAGCUCUCUGCUGUGGCCAGGGAGUGCAGUGGAGGAUGGCCCAAGUGCUUGGGCCCUGCACCCCAUGGGAGACCAGGAAAAGCACCUGGCUCCUGGCUCCUGCCAUUGAUCAGUGCAGUGCGCCGGCUGCAGCGCGCUGGCUGCGGUGGCCAUUGGAGGGUGAACCAACGGCAAAGGAAGACCUUUCUCUCUGUCUCUCUCUCUCACUGUCCACUCUGCCUGUCAAAAAAAAAAAAAAAAUUACAAUAACCAAAUCUUAGUCCCUUUUGCUCUUCACUUGACUGAAAUUUCAUAAACCACUUUUGGAUCUUAAACUGAAGAAUUUCUUUAAGCUGCUAUUUACAAAGGUGACAACAUCAUAAUGAAGCAGUCUGUGCAUUUCCAUAGGAAAUGCAAAUAAUCAAACCUCCUCUACCAGGCACAGCUCUCCCCAGCCCUAGUCUGCAGAGAUGUUCAGCUAAGAAGCAAGCUGCAUUGUGUUUCGAAAAACACAUUAUGGAAGACAUUGGCUCCAGUCUCUGAAUGUGCCCCUGCCACAGUUCUUCCCACAAAUGCACUCCCUGCUGUUAAUUUCUCUUCCCAGCAGGCAGCUUACCAAGGCUCCUUUAUCUCACAUUUCUGAAUAUGUUACACGACUAAGAGUUGACUCCUAAUGGAGAUAAAGACACUUGCGGGGAGAGGGAAUGAGGAGAUAUCUGUAUGCACUGGCUCCUGAGAAGAUUCCCAGACAGAUUUUCCCCAGGAUACAGCAUUGAGAACUCCUCCACAAACAAGCAAACAGAAAAUCUGGUUCAUAGUGUCCCGCACUGGAGCAAGAUCCUCCUAGCCCAGGGACGGGUCUCAGCCCCCGGAUCCACUCUCCUGAGGCUGUGAUUCUGGAAUAAACAUCUCAGGGACAGCAGAGCAAUGGCGUCUGGGAAGACCGUGCCAUGACUCGGCCUGCCCUGUGGUUCACACCGUGUGCCCCAGACUUCUGCUCCAGCUUAUCUCCCAAGCCUCCGUCUCUACCCUCCUGUUGAUCUUUUGAGUCCACAACACCUUUGCGAGAGUCCUGCUUCAUAGAUUAUAAGUCUACAGAAUUCUUUAAGAGAGUCCUGGUUAGGAAUGAGAGUGCUGAUGGAUACACCAGGUUGCCUAUCCUGUGCCUUCUAGUCAGAUCGUAUUUUAUGAUGAUUGCAUUAAAAGUUUCGCGAGUGCGCAGUCGAGGGACGCUCUCGAGAACGUCCACGCUGGUGUGCUAGGGCAUCUGGAAGAGGCUGCAGAGCUGCUGGACACCAGCAACGCGCAGACGAGAGCCGUGCUGGGCGCGCUGCUGGUGAGAAGCCUGCUGCUCCAGGAUAUCUGCAAGGAGGACGACUUUGAGUGGACGAGACAUCUGCGGUACAAAUGGGAUGAAAAACAGAUGUUAUGCUAUGUAUCUCAAGGAGGUGCCAGUUUUACUUAUGGCUAUGAGUACCUGGGCUGUACCCCAAGACUGGCCAUUACGCCUCUCACUGACCGGUGCUGGCUCACAUUCCUACACUUCCUACACUUGAAUCUAGGAGGUUGUGCUUCUGGUCCAGCAGGUGUAGGAAAAACUGAGACUAUCAAAGACCUAGCGAAAGUAAGUGACUUCUAUAUCUAGAACAAAAACAUCUUUUCUGUCCCACAAACUUCAUAGAUGUUUCACCAUUCUUAUCUUAAAUUUACACCAUUCCUGCUGUUAAGAUAUUCAUUGCUUUUAUAAUCACAUCCAUUAACCCAUGUAUUAAUUGAUGGAUUAAUUUCAUAAUGCCUGUUGUUUGCGGGGAGGUGGAUCUCAGUAAACCCACAACUGCUUUGAAUUUACAUGGAACGGUAUUAACUGCUAACAUGUGAAUGAUCAACAUCACUGUGUGUGUGUAUGAGAUAAAAGUAGUGACUAAUGAA